rnacentral:rRNA from 1 species
CCUACGGGAGGCAGCAGUGGGGAAUAUUGGGCAAUGGGCGCAAGCCUGACCCAGCAACGCCGCGUGAAGGAAGAAGGCUUUCGGGUUGUAAACUUCUUUUGACAGGGAAGAGCAGAAGACGGUACCUGUCGAAUAAGCCACGGCUAACUACGUGCCAGCAGCCGCGGUAAUACGGAGGUGGCAAGCGUAGUCCGGAUGUACUGGGGGAAAAGGCUUGUAGCCGGGCUGACAAGUGAGAUGUGAAAUCCGGGGGCUCAACCCGCGAACUGCCUUUGAAACUGGUGGUCUGGAGUAUCGGAGAGGAAAGUGGAAUUCCUAGUGUAGGGGUGAAAUGCGUAGAUAUUAGGAGGAACAUCAGUGGCGAAGGCGGCCAGCUGGACCACAACUGACGGUGAGGCGCGAAAGCGUGGGGAGCAAACAGGAUUAGAUACCCUAGUAGUC